UACGGGGGGAGCAAGCGUUGUUCGGAUUUACUGGGCGUAAAGGGCGCGUAGGCGGCCCUGUAAGUCCGUUGUGAAAGUCAAAGGCUCAACCUUUGAAAGCCGAUGGAUACUGCAGGGCUAGAGUCCGGAAGAGGCGAGUGGAAUUCCUGGUGUAGCGGUGGAAUGCGCAGAUAUCAGGAGGAACACCAAUAGCGAAGGCAGCUCGCUGGGACGGUACUGACGCUAAGGCGCGAAAGCGUGGGGAGCGAACAGG
rnacentral:rRNA from 1 species